GAAAUACAAAAUAAGUGAAGUGCAAAAGAAGUCAAUGACCCGACGCUAAGGAUUCGAAAUGGAUCAAGACAUCCGGAUACAAAGAGAACAUAACUUUGUAUACGUGCAUCUUGAUCUGUCUCAUGAUGGAAUCCAAGUAAGGUGAAAGGUCUUCAAAAAUCCUAUUCCAUGUAAGCCAAAUGUAGUAUACAGUGCUCGGAAGAGCAAUCCUCUUCACUUUACUUUGCUAUGACGUCCCACGGGCCUCCUUUUUCAACUACUUAAGAGCAUUAGCAAGAGUUAACAUAGAUCUUUUGAUGCCGAGCUAUCGCCUAAUAUUCCCCCAUAAGGUAGAUGUGAAGGAGCAUUUAAAGAAAAGAUGGUCGCAAGUUUUCGCGAAAUGCCCACAAAACACACAAUUACGAUCAAUAUCCAAAAAUUGCAAUUUUUCUUUAGUUAGGAGUUUAGAUUGAACCCCUAACCAAAGCAAAAAGGAAUGCUUCGGAGUAAUGCACGAUUUUCAAACUUCGGUACCCCAAAUCUUGAAUGUACCCUUAGGCCUAAAGAAAUUAUAGGCAAUUUUUGCGCUGAAUAUAUCUCCUGUUGAGCAACCCAUAAACUGUCUCCUGCAGUGAACUGUCUGCUGUCUACUAAACUGUCUGAGUUCUGCCCAAUUUAGCCCAUGUUCUGUGGGUGCCCAACAAGGUAAUUUGGGGCUAAACCAGUAGACCGAGGUAGUAUAAUUC
rnacentral:lncRNA from 1 species